rfam:Thaumarchaeota archaeon 13_1_40CM_2_39_7 13_1_40cm_2_scaffold_486, whole genome shotgun sequence.
GCGAGCUGGUGAGCGAAGUACUGCUACGGCAGAGGAAACUCCUCCCUCCAUGCAGCAAGUGUGAUUCGGCGACGAAUAGUCAGAGAUGACUGGCAACAGCACAGAAAAUUAUCCGACCUGGAGUACUAUGAUGGCAAAACCUGAGGUUUCCAGCAAGGAAUGAAAAGUCUGUCCCGCCUGGAGCAAGGCCAAAUCAAACAAUAAGCGCUGCACUUUGUUUAGGUAGGCCGCAUAGCGAAAUUUCGUAAAAACAGAAGGAGGGUUACGGCUGGCACGC